rnacentral:rRNA from 1 species
UCGAGAAUCUUCGGCAAUGGGCGCAAGCCUGACCGAGCGACGCCGCGUGGAGGAUGAAGGCCUUCGGGUUGUAAACUCCUGUCGAGGGGGAGGAAGGGGCAACCUUGACCUAUCCCUGGAGGAAGCACGGGCUAAGUUCGUGCCAGCAGCCGCGGUAAGACGAACCGUGCGAACGUUAUUCGGAAUCAUUGGGCUUAAAGCGCGUGUAGGCGGAUGGGAACGUCGGUGUUGAAAGCCCCCGGCUCAACCGGGGAAUUGGCUCCGAAACGACCCGUCUGGAGGGGCAUAGGGGGACCUGGAACUUCCGGUGGAGCGGUGAAAUGCGUUGAGAUCGGAAGGAACGCCCGUGGCGAAAGCGAGGUCCUGGAUGUCUUCUGACGCUGAGACGCGAAAGCUAGGGUAGCGAACG